rnacentral:rRNA from 1 species
UGGGGGAUAUUGCACAAUGGGCGAAAGCCUGAUGCAGCGACGCCGCGUGGGGGAUGAAGGCCUUCGGGUUGUAAACUUCUUUUGCUCUGAACAAGGCAUGCUAAUGGGUGUGUUGAGUGUAGGGGUUGAUUAGCGCCGGCUAACUACGUGCCAGCAGCCGCGGUAAUACGUAGGGCGCGAGCGUUGUCCGGAAUUAUUGGGCGUAAAGGGCUUGUAGGUGGCUGGUUGCGUCUGUCGUGAAAGCUCAUGGCUUAACUGUGGGUUUGCGGUGGGUACGGGCUGGCUGGAGUGCAGUGGGGGAGGCUGGAAUUCCUGGUGUAGCGGUGGAAUGCGCAGAUAUCAGGAGGAAUACCGGUGGCGAAGGCGGGUCUCUGGGCUGUUACUGACACUGAGGAGCGAAAGCAUGGGGAGCGAACAGG